ensembl:lncRNA
UGUGUGAGUAUACAGUGUGUGUGUUAGUGUGUGAGUAUACAGUGUGUGUGUGAGUUGGUGAGUAUACAGUGUGUGUGAGUGUGUGAGUAUACAGUGUGUGUGUUAGUGGGUGAGUAUACAGUGUGUGUGUUAGUGGGUGAGUAUACAGUGUGUGUGAGUGUGUGAGUAUACAGUGUGUGUGUGAGUGUGUGAGUAUACAGUGUGUGUUAGUGGGUGAGUAUACAGUGUGUGUGUUAGUGUGUGAGUAUACAGUAUUAUACAGUGUGUGUGAGUAUACAGUGUGUGUUAGUGUGUGAGUAUACAGUGUGUGUGUCAGUGUGUGAGUAUACAGUGUGUGUGAG